rnacentral:rRNA from 1 species
GUCUUUAGCCAUACCACCUUAAAUGGCCCUGAAUUCGUCUGAUCUCAGAAGCUAAGCAAGGUCAGGCAUGGUUAGUACUUGGAGAGUCAAAUGAAAGGGGAGGAGGACC